CAUACCAUGCUGAAUAUACCGGUUCUCGUUAGAUCACCGAAGUCAAGCAUCAUUGGGCGCGGUCAGUACUUGGGUGGGUGACCACCUGGGAACAC
rnacentral:rRNA from 1 species